rnacentral:tRNA from 1 species
GGGUUUGUAGUUCAAUGGUAGAAUCGCUGACUUUUAAUCAGUUGAUCUGUGUUCGAUUCACAGCAGACCCACCA